rnacentral:lncRNA from 1 species
GAAUGCACAAUUUUGUUUUUGUUUUUUCCAACAGGACAAUGCUCGUCUGCAUACUGCUGCUAUCUCAAGAACUUGCCUUGAAGACACAAAGGCUAUGUCAUGACCUGUCACAUUGCCAAACCUGUCCGUGAUUGAAAAUGUGUCAGAUGCUAUGGGACGUGCUAUCAACACUCCAGCACUACUUCUUUAACCCCACUCCGAGACAUCUGUGUUCCUCGUCUAAUUACAACAGACAAAUACCAGAUACAGCACAGCACAGUAUGUUCUUUAAACCGGAAUAAAGCGGAUAUUUUCUCCUCAAUGUGUGUGUUGGACUACUAAGAGAGAGCAGAGCUGCUCGUGGCUGGAGCGAGGAAAGAGGACACACUCCUCUGGAUUUCCCGCCGAUUUACUUCCCGCGUGCUCGGGUAAGUCCUGAUGUGAUUUUUUUUAUUAAAUGUUAUUUAACCUAAAUUAAUUCAUUAAGUCUAUUUUUUUCUAUGGUCUCACUCGUCCUUUUCCCUUCUUUUUCUUUUCCUGUUGUUACAUUCGUAGUCUUCGUGGUUCUGCUGCUUUCUAUCAGGAUCUUUUAUGUGACCAAGAGCAUCGGAAAAGGGAAAUUCGGAGGAGGGGUAUUCUUUCAUUCCUCUGGUCUGGGCAGCUCAGUCAUCCCGUCGUCCUUAAACUGUCAUCCUCAGUAAUGAUCACACCCUGCUGGGGCAGGUGUAGUGUGUGUGUGAGUUAAUGUCACCAUGAAACCCACCUGAGCAGCUCCGAGGAGUCUCCACUCUGGUUCUCUGC